rnacentral:rRNA from 1 species
CAUGUAGGCGGUUACAUAAGUCAGAUGUGAAAUCCCCGCGCUUAACGUGGGCAUUGCAUUUGAAACUAUGUAGCUAGAGUUCUGUAGAGGGGGGUAGAAUUCCACGUGUAGCAGUGAAAUGCACAGAGAUGUGGAGGAAUACCGAUGGCGAAGGCAGCCCCCUGGGAUAAUACUGACGCUCAGGCACGAAAGCGUGGGGAGCAAACAGGAUUAGAUACCCUAGUA